rnacentral:rRNA from 1 species
CCUACGGGAGGCAGCAGUGGGGAAUAUUGCACAAUGGGGGAAACCCUGAUGCAGCGAUGCCGCGUGGAGGAAGAAGGUUUUCGGAUUGUAAACUCCUUUUAUCAGGGACGAUAAUGACGGUACCCCAAUAGCAAGCCACGGCUAACUACGUGCCAGCAGCCGCGGUAAUACGUAGGUGGCAAGCGUUAUCCGGAAUGACUGGGCGUAAAGGGUGCGUAGGUGGUUUAGUAAGUUGGCGGUGUAAUUCCGGGGCUCAACCUCGGCGCUACCGCCAAAACUAUUAGACUAGAGUGCAGGAGGGGUAAGUGGAAUUCCUAGUGUAGCGGUGGAAUGCGUAGAUAUUAGGAGGAACAUCAGGGGCGAAGGCGACUUACUGGACUGUAACUGACACUGAGGCACGAAAGCGUGGGGAGCAAACAGGAUUAGAUACCCUUGUAGUC